rnacentral:rRNA from 1 species
UACAGAGGGGGCAAGCGUUGUUCGGAAUUACUGGGCGUAAAGGGCGCGUAGGCGGCCUGUUAAGUCGAACGUGAAAUCCCCGGGCUCAACCCGGGAACUGCGUCCGAUACUGGCAGGCUUGAAUUCGGGAGAGGGAUGUGGAAUUCCUGGUGUAGCGGUGAAAUGCGCAGAUAUCAGGAGGAACACCGGUGGCGAAGGCGGGUCUCUGGGCCGAUACUGACGCUGAGGAGCGAAAGCGUGGGGAGCGAACAGG